rnacentral:misc_RNA from 1 species
AACUGAUACUACCUGCGGGAACCUGCGGAGGGAUCGUUACUGAAGUGAUUUGGGGAUGUUGCUGGCCCUCUCUCAAGGGGGGGCACUGUGCACUCCUCGAAACAAUUCACAAUUUCCAUCACACCCCUUGUGCACACCUUGUAGGCACCCAAACCCACCUCCGGGUGGUGGGGUCCUAUGUAUUCCUUCAUCUCACACUCUGUUGAAUGGUGCCAUGGGACGCAUCUAAAGGAUUAUUUG